rnacentral:lncRNA from 1 species
AUGGUCUUUGGUGGUCCACCGUUGGGUUUUGGGGGUCUCCAGUGGUCUUUGGUGGUCCAUCAAUGGUUUUUGGGGGUCUCCAAUGGUCUUUGGGAUCCAUGGAUUGACUUUGUGGGUCUCCAGUGGUCUUUGGUGGUCCACCAGUGGCCUUUAGGUUCUCCCAAGCACUUUGGGGGUCCACCAGUGGUUUUUUGGGGUCUCCAAUGGUCUCUGGGGUCCAUCGAUUGGCCUUGGGAUUCUCCAGUGGUCUUUGGGGGGUCUCCAAAGCUUUCUGGGUUCCAUCAGAGGCUUUUGGGGGUCCCCAAUGGUCUUUGGGGUCCAUCAAUGGUCUUUGGGGGUCUCCAAUGGUCUUUGGGAUCCAUUGAUGGUCUUUGGUGGUCCACCGUUGGGUUUCGGGGGUCUGCAAUGGUUUUGGGGUCCAUCGAUGGUCUUUGGGGGUCUCCAUUGAUUUUUGGGAUCCACCAACGGUGUUUGGGGGUCUCCAAUGGUUUUGGGGUCCAUCGAUGGUCUUUGGGGAUCUCCAUUGAUUUUUGGGAUCCACCAAUGGUCUUUGGGGGUCUCCAGAGGGUUUUGGGGGUCUCCAAUGGUCUUUGGGAUCCAUCCAUGGUCUUUGGUGGCCCACCAGUGGUUUCUGGGGGGUCUCCAAAGGUUUCUAGGUUUCGUCAGUGGGUUUUGGGGGUCUCCAAUGGUCUUUGGGGGGUCUCUAGUAGGUUUUGGGGGUCUCCAAUGAUUUUUGGGGUCCAUCACUGGUCUUUGGGGGUCUCCAAUGGUCUUUGGCAUUCAUCCUCACCCGCUCGACCCCGUCGUAGAUCCAGGACGUGGUGCCCAUCAACAGCUACGACGCGGCCGGGACCUUCCUGCUGCUCGGCUGCAACAACGGCUCCAUCUACUACGUGGGUGAGCAAGGGGGGGGGAGGGGGUGGGGUGAGGGUUUUGGGGGUCUCCUGUGGGCUCUGGGGGGGUCUUCGGGGGUCUCCGAAGGUCUUUGGGGGUCCACCAGUGGUUUUGGGGGGUCCACCAGUGGUCGUUGGGGGGUCUCUGAAGGGCUUUGGGGGUCCAUCAACGGUCUUCGGGGGUCUCCGAAGGUUUCUGGGGGUCCAUCUGUGGUUUUUGGGGGUCCACCGGUGGUCAGUGGGGGUCUCCAAAGGUUUCUGGGAUCGGUCAUUGGGUUUUGGGGGUCUCCGAAGGGAUUUGGGGUCCGUCAGUGGUCAUUGGGGGUCUCCAAGGUUUCUGGGGGUCCAC